rnacentral:rRNA from 1 species
GGAGGAAAGCAGGGGAUCGCAAGACCUUGCGCUCUUGGAGCGGCCGAUGUCUGAUUAGCUAGUUGGUGAGGUAAAGGCUUACCAAGGCGACGAUCAGUAGCUGGUCUGAGAGGACGACCAGCCACACUGGGACUGAGACACGGCCCAGACUCCUACGGGAGGCAGCAGUGGGGAAUUUUGGACAAUGGGGGAAACCCUGAUCCAGCCACGCCGCGUGAGUGAAGAAGGCCUUCGGGUUGUAAAGCUCUUUCAGCCGGAACGAAACGGUCACGGCUAAUACCUGUGACUACUGACGGUACCGGAAGAAGAAGCACCGGCUAACUACGUGCCAGCAGCCGCGGUAAUACGUAGGGUGCAAGCGUUAAUCGGAAUUACUGGGCGUAAAGCGUGCGCAGGCGGUUUUGUAAGUCAGAUGUGAAAUCUCCGGGCUUAACCUGGGAACUGCGUUUGAAACUACAAGGCCUAG